rnacentral:misc_RNA from 1 species
CAGAGUUGCAAAACUCCCUAACCCUUUGUGAAUCUUACCUUUUGUACGUUGCUUCGGCAGGCGACGCCCCAGCGGAGUCUCCGGCCUGGGUCUCCCAGGUGUCUGCCGAAGGAACCACCAAACUCUGUUAUGUUUUAGCUAUCUGAGCCUAAAGACAAAAUAAUAA